rnacentral:lncRNA from 1 species
GGGGAACGGUUCCCUUUGGGACCAGAGCAAAACAAUGUGAGUUGUAAUCAUCCUGCAUCCUCUCCAGCUGUUUGGACUUGAGGGAUAUUUGAAUCAACGUACAGACUGGGGAAAAGUUACCUGGCAGAGAAGAUAAGAGGCAAGGCUUCUCUCCCAUGUAAGUGAGGAGUUUGACAUCACUGAGAGAGCCAUCAUCCUUGGCAGCACCCAUGGGACGCGCUUGGCCUCUCUCCAUUUCUGUGGUAAAUCCAUCAACAUAAAAGCGUUCUCGUUUCAGAAAGAGUGCUCUGGAGGUGACCACAGUUGAGCUAAAGGAAGAGCUUUCAAUUUUGAUUUCACAAAUGCAUGGAAGCAGCCAAAGACAUUGAAGGUGCCUGACUUGCUCUGAAGUUCAAAAAUAGCUUCAAUGAGAAUCUCUAAUGCUGCAGCCAAGAGCGUCUCAUCUGAGGAAGCAGUGGAUGAUUUUGGCUAAGAAACCAUUCUGUCUGACCUGGGAUCCUGUGAAGAAUUCUGAGUUACAAGUGGCACAAAUGCAGGGCUCAAUAAUGCCAGAUGAAUGACUGGAGUUGAGAGGGAACAGAUAUUUUGAAGGUAUGUCUUAGUGAAGAUAUGGAAUUGCUUCUUUAUUUCAAACUCCAGUCAGGUUCCUAGAA